UAGCCGUAAACGAUACUCGCUAGGUGUCGGCCACGGUGCGACCGUUGUCGGUGCCGUAGGGAAGCCGUGAAGCGAGCCACCUGGGAAGUACGGCCGCAAGGCUGAAACUUAAAGGAAUUGGCGGGGGAGCACCGCAACGGGAGGAGCUUGCGGUUUAAUUGGAUUCAACGCCGGAAAUCUUACCGGGACCGACAGCAACAUGAAGGCCAAGCUGAAGACUUUGCCGGAUUAGCUGAGAGGAGGUGCAUGGCGUAGUCGUGU
rnacentral:rRNA from 1 species